CGAGUAGGACGGAGCACGAGAAACUUUGUCUGAACAUGGGGGACCAUCCUCCAAGGCUAAAUACUACUGACUGACCGAUAGUGAACCAGUACCGUGAGGGAAAGGCGAAAAGAACCCCGGAGAGGGGAGUGAAAUAGAACCUGAAACCGUAUGCGUACAAGCAGUGGGAGCCUACUUGUUAGGUGACUGCGUACCUUUUGUAUAAUGGGUCAGCGACUUAUAUUCAGUGGCAAGCUUAACCGUAUAGGGUAGGCGUAGCGAAAGCGAGUCUUAAUAGGGCGUUUAGUCGCUGGGUAUAGACCCGAAACCGGGCGAUCUAUCCAUGAGCAGGUUGAAGGUUAGGUAACACUGACUGGAGGACCGAACCCACUCCCGUUGAAAAGGUAGGGGAUGACUUGUGGAUCGGAGUGAAAGGCUAAUCAAGCUCGGAGAUAGCUGGUUCUCCUCGAAAGCUAUUUAGGUAGCGCCUCAUGUAUCACUCUGGGGGGUAGAGCACUGUUUCGGCUAGGGGGUCAUCCCGACUUACCAAACCGAUGCAAACUCCGAAUACCCAGAAGUGCCGAGCAUGGGAGACACACGGCGGGUGCUAACGUCCGUCGUGAAAAGGGAAACAACCCAGACCGCCAGCUAAGGUCCCAAAGUUGUGGUUAAGUGGUAAACGAUGUGGGAAGGCUUAGACAGCUAGGAGGUUGGCUUAGAAGCAGCCACCCUUUAAAGAAAGCGUAAUAGCUCACUAGUCGAGUCGGCCUGCGCGGAAGAUGUAACGGGGCUCAAACCACACACCGAAGCUGCGGGUGUCACGUAAGUGACGCGGUAGAGGAGCGUUCUGUAAGCCUGUGAAGGUGAGUUGAGAAGCUUGCUGGAGGUAUCAGAAGUGCGAAUGCUGACAUGAGUAACGACAAUGGGUGUGAAAAACACCCACGCCGAAAGACCAAGGGUUCCUGCGCAACGUUAAUCGACGCAGGGUUAGUCGGUUCCUAAGGCGAGGCUGAAAAGCGUAGUCGAUGGGAAACAGGUUAAUAUUCCUGUACUUCUGGUUACUGCGAUGGAGGGACGGAGAAGGCUAGGCCAGCUUGGCGUUGGUUGUCCAAGUUUAAGGUGGUAGGCUGAAAUCUUAGGUAAAUCCGGGGUUUCAAGGCCGAGAGCUGAUGACGAGUCGUCUUUUAGAUGACGAAGUGGUUGAUGCCAUGCUUCCAAGAAAAGCUUCUAAGCUUCAGGUAACCAGGAACCGUACCCCAAACCGACACAGGUGGUCGGGUAGAGAAUACCAAGGCGCUUGAGAGAACUCGGGUGAAGGAACUAGGCAAAAUGGCACCGUAACUUCGGGAGAAGGUGCGCCGGCUAGGGUGAAGGAUUUACUCCGUAAGCUCUGGCUGGUCGAAGAUACCAGGCCGCUGCGACUGUUUAUUAAAAACACAGCACUCUGCAAACACGAAAGUGGACGUAUAGGGUGUGACGCCUGCCCGGUGCCGGAAGGUUAAUUGAUGGGGUUAGCGCAAGCGAAGCUCUUGAUCGAAGCCCCGGUAAACGGCGGCCGUAACUAUAACGGUCCUAAGGUAGCGAAAUUCCUUGUCGGGUAAGUUCCGACCUGCACGAAUGGCGUAACGAUGGCGGCGCUGUCUCCACCCGAGACUCAGUGAAAUUGAAAUCGCUGUGAAGAUGCAGUGUAUCCGCGGCUAGACGGAAAGACCCCGUGAACCUUUACUGUAGCUUUGCACUGGACUUUGAGCCUGCUUGUGUAGGAUAGGUGGGAGGCUUUGAAGCGUGGACGCCAGUUCGCGUGGAGCCAUCCUUGAAAUACCACCCUGGCAUGCUUGAGGUUCUAACUCUGGUCCGUGAUCCGGAUCGAGGACAGUGUAUGGUGGGCAGUUUGACUGGGGCGGUCUCCUCCUAAAGAGUAACGGAGGAGUACGAAGGUGCGCUCAGACCGGUCGGAAAUCGGUCGCAGAGUAUAAAGGCAAAAGCGCGCUUGACUGCGAGACAGACACGUCGAGCAGGUACGAAAGUAGGUCUUAGUGAUCCGGUGGUUCUGUAUGGAAGGGCCAUCGCUCAACGGAUAAAAGGUACUCCGGGGAUAACAGGCUGAUACCGCCCAAGAGUUCAUAUCGACGGCGGUGUUUGGCACCUCGAUGUCGGCUCAUCACAUCCUGGGGCUGAAGCCGGUCCCAAGGGUAUGGCUGUUCGCCAUUUAAAGUGGUACGCGAGCUGGGUUUAGAACGUCGUGAGACAGUUCGGUCCCUAUCUGCCGUGGACGUUUGAGAUUUGAGAGGGGCUGCUCCUAGUACGAGAGGACCGGAGUGGACGAACCUCUGGUGUUCCGGUUGUCACGCCAGUGGCAUUGCCGGGUAGCUAUGUUCGGAAAAGAUAACCGCUGAAAGCAUCUAAGCGGGAAACUUGCCUCAAGAUGAGAUCUCACUGGGAACUUGAUUCCCCUGAAGGGCCGUCGAAGACUACGACGUUGAUAGGCUGGGUGUGUAAGCGUUGUGAGGCGUUGAGCUAACCAGUACUAAUUGCCCGUGAGGCUUGACCAU
rnacentral:rRNA from 1 species